UUCGCGAUUCUCCGACGCACUAGUUAUUUUCAACGACAGCAAAUGCAUUGUAAUGUCCCAUCGAUGCCGCUAUCAUUGAAUACGUGAUGGUGAUGAAAUUUAUGCCAUUGAACGAUUGACUUUCUGAAUGUGUCCAGAUAUUUUUCCAGACAAUUUCUACUGUAGUGUUUUCCUCAUUAGACUGGAACGUGGAACCCGUUCACAUUGGUGGUUAAAAUAGAUAUGAAGUUUUUGUCAAUGAUAGAUUGUGAUUGGAUGCAUCAAAUAUGAAGUUGAAGUCAUCAAUACUCACUCGUUCAAGAUUGAUUACCAUAAUCACAUCAACCACCCACCAAGUUUUCACCAUCAAACUAUAUCCUAUCUCAUUAGUCAGAUGGCUCGGUAGUCAACUAUCUGUGCUUGUUUUCGGAGGAUUCCAACAGUUGCACCUGGACGUUGAAUUGACCAUGAUGUGAACAAUUUAUACAGAGAAUCUUGUGCUUCAGUUGUAGCAGCUCACAAACCCCUUUGAAUUCAACUAUCUUCAACGUUCUGAGUGAAAUGAACAAAAACUUUUCCUAUGGAUCAACUACCCACUGGUAACCUUUAGUCACCAAGAAUCCAAUUGCACGCCAUCUCCGCGGGAUUGAUGUGGAUGAAAUUGUUUUCUCAACGUUGUGGUAGAGGAGCAUGAACCAUUGCACUUUUUUUCAUUUCUAUAAUUCUUAGGUGUGGGUACAAUUAUGGUGAGCAACAACGUUUCACACAAUAUGUAUUAAUUUCUUAUGUAGGUAUACAUGAAAAAGAACACUUACACAUGAAGUUUGUAUUACUGGUAACACUAAAAUUGUGGAAACUUAACUUUAGGGUUUGUGUGGGCCUGAGUUCCAAUAAUGAAAGAAGUAACACAUAAAGUGCCAUAUGAGUAAUAUUAGAAUUGUGGUAUUGUCACUGUGGGGGUUGAGUGGCCCUGAGUGCUGUUUGAUAUCCAUCAUCAGUGGUGGAUGAGUAGAAUAACCACUGCCUUUUCCUUCAUUUCUGUAAACAAACUAGUGAAUUUUGGUGAACACAUGAAGUGGCUAUGUAGGACAUUCUGCACAAUAUUAUGUACUUUUCAAGAGAAUACAUACUUACAAAAAUAUUUACACUAUUGACUGGGAACAUGAAUGCAGCUGACUGUGUUUUUGACAGUAUUGGUAGAUUGUUUAGUUGACCACUUCACCAUUGAAACGAGAAUAAUACAUACUUAUAUGGAAAUUAAACAAUUUUGUUCUUGUUGAACUUUGAUUCAUAUUUACCUACCUACCUAACAAAAAGAAAAAAAUUUUCAUUUGUCAAUGAAAUGGUUUGUGAAUCAAUAUCUGAAUUAAACACUCUUUCUCUGCAAAAAAUAAGUAUGCAUUCCAGACAAAAAGUAUCCACAUUGACAUGACCAGGAAUUGACAAUUUUUUUUUUUUUACAAAAUAAUAUAGUUACUUACAUCUUGUUAUGAAAGUUCUGACGAAUACGAUGUGUUACUGCAAAUUAUUUAAUAAUUGUUCCUCCAUACUCUCUAAAAAAAACAUUAAAUUAUUAUUUUUCAGUCAAUCAAUUCAACUUGAUUUAUAAAUAACUGGCUUACUGGGUAAACUGGUCCUGAUUUGAUCGUUCAAGGAGUUGGUAAACUAGUUCAUAUCUCAGCAUCUAGACUCAAAUGCACCCCUGUUGAGUGUAAAGGGUGCAUAGUCUAUAGGUACCUUAUCUUUUUUGUAUGUAGGUUACCAUGUAUAUUAUUUAAUUUUUGUCCAGUUUAGUAAUGCUCACAAAUGGUAAACAUUUCUCCCCUCUGCAAAUAACGUCUAAAUCUUCAAUGAUACAGAUCAUUUGUUGUUUUUCAUCGAUGUCUACUGAUUCCAAUAAUUGUUCACAUAAUAAUGUUGAGUGGGCACUAGCAAAAUUCCAAAUAAAUCUGCAGUGCCCAAAGUCCAUAUAAAAAUUGUCAUUUGUAAAUGUUGACAAUCAAUAACCACAUUAAAUGAAAAAAAAAAAUCAAAAUUUAUUUCAGUCAAUUAUAUUAGUUCACUGUUCCAAAUCAGUAAUACAAAAAUAUUUCAUUUUACUGCUUUUACAAUUAAAUUUUCACUGUUAUGAAACAGUAAUUUUUUUUAACUGAUUCAAACAGAGUAUUAAUGAAUACACUGGUUGAAUUAGUUGGAACUCAUUCAACUGAUUCACCCAGUACUGUUUCACUGAUUCAACAGUAGCAAAGUUCUGCCUUUUUGAAUCAGUGAAAUUUGACUGUGAAUCAGUAGAAAAUGACUGAUUCAAAUUUAGAGAGAGGGUCUUCAGUGGUGUACAUACGUAGAUGAACAAGGGUCGAGAUAGACAUGUGAUUACUAUGACUAAUAAUCAUUCAUUGACCUUGGUCUCUGAGGUAUCUAAGCCUACUUCACCUUCAUAUUGUGGCCUCUUGAGUUGUUUCCCUAGGAUUGGAUGGUUUGUGUUUUGACUUAAAUGAUUAGGAAUGUUAUUAUCGACUUUGUAUCCAUCUUACAUCUUAUUGACAAUGGUUUCAUGACACCUGACAGAAAGAAAAAAUUACAUGUAAGUGUUACCUACUUUGAUGAACAUAAAAUUGCAUAUAGUCCAGUCAUUAAAGACAUUUUUACAGGAAAAAUUAUCAUCAAACAGAUCUUUUAUAUUGACCAUAUUAUUCAAAGAAACACAUGUUUUAAAACUUUUAAAUUCGUACCUAAAUUAUAUCAUACAUUAUCUAUUACUUACUUGUUUAAUGAACCAUUUGAUUGGUUAUAUAUCUUGACACUUCGUUUUGGAGCUGUGGUAUUGGCAUUUCUUGCUGAUCGAUUAACUAAGCCGGUAUGUUUCCUAGGUGUUGUUAAAAAGUCUGUUGUGUUUUCACUCAAGUAGCGGCAACUGCUGUUUCCCAUUCAUUGGGCACUUUUACUAACAAAUUAUUAAUUUUUACUUUGAAAUUAGGGAAGUCCGAUUCGACAUCAUAUACAUUUUGGUCUACUGUUUCACAACUUUCACAUACACCAUACAAUUGGUACGGAGCCAUCACAUGAUUUGUCAACUAGACACAUUACAACUGCACAUUCAUAUGCAUAAAGUUUAUAAAUUGAUUUUACUUAUUUAUGUUACUUCUUACUUGGUAAGCUAGUGCGCACCAUGUUGUCUAGCGUGAGGUGAAUGCUAGUGAAAGGAGCGUUCUCAAUGCCCUUAUAACUUUUUUGUAUGGAUGUCACAGUGAAAACUACUUUUGGGGGGGGGGAGUAGUUCAGUGAUGGAGAUGAAUGGCAAAUAUUUUGUCCCCUUACAAAUUGAAUCCAACUCUUUUAUUAUAUUUUCCAUUCUAUGUCCGUCAAUCAUUAAAGAUUUUAAUGAGGAUUUCAGUUCCUCUGUCGCUGUCCCUGGUGUAAUAGCAGUAAGUAGACUUUUUGGGUUGAGGUGCAUCUGCAUUGAUAAUUUUCAUAGCGGCAGAGGUGCACUAGGUGGUAGCAGUGGAGGUUUCUUUCAUCAUCAUGGAAUGAGACCACUGCGAAUUUGUUUUGCAAAGACUUUUCAGGUUGUUCCUGAGCAGGCUGAUAAGGGCAUGCCCCAGGGGCUGACACAAUGUCAUGUAGCCAUGUUUGCUUCCGAUCAUGGUGAUAUAUAGUCUUUCAAGAAAAGUUGCGGGCCCCUUUGUACACCUCACAUAGAAUAGUGAAACAACAAAAGUAUAUUUGAUAAGCUGUCAUGCAUAAUAUUUUUAUGACAGGUUUGUCAACUAGACACAUUGUAACUGCACAUUCAUAAGCAUUGUUGAAAAAUGAUAAUUAUCUUUUCUCUUUGCAGCUGCAUACCCUGAGACAUGAAUUAACUCCAAAAAAAUGUUUUAACGUAUAAUUGUUUAAUCUAUUAAAAAAAUUGAACAUUAUAAAACAAAUGGUUAAAGAAAAGAUUUUUACAUUAAAUUAUCAACUUACUCAUUAUUGAUGACUCCAGAACAACCUGCAUCCACCGCAUUCCUUUUUGCAGAUACAUCCAUUUGGUAAUAUCUUAGGGAGCUUGUGGUUUUUUUAAACACAUUAUAGAACUACAAGUUUUGAAGUAAUUUUCCUGUCAUUCUCUCUAAAAAAACAAUACUUAUUAAAUUUAAAAAAAAAAAAAAAAACAAAACAUUUAAUAAACAGUAUUAUAAAUCAGUAAUACAAAAAUAUUUCAUUUUACUGGUUUUACAAUCAAAUUUUUACUGUUAUGAAACAGUAAUUUUUUUAAACUGAUUAAAACAGCGUAUUAAUGGAUACACUAGUUGAAUUAGUUGAACUCAUUCAACUGAUUCACCCAGUACUGUUUCACUGAUUCAACAGUAGCAAAAUUCUACCUUUUUGAAUCAGUGAAAUUUGACUGUGAAUCAGUACAAAAUGACCAAUUCUUUAGAGAGAGGGUCUUCACUCUUCAGUGAUCUACAUAGAUGAACAAGGGUCGAGAAAGACAUGUGAUCACUAUGACGAAUAAUUAUUCAUUGAUCUUGGUCUCUGAGGUACCUGAGCCUGGUUCACCUUCAUAUUGUAGCCUCUUGAGUUGUUUCCCUGGGAUUGGACAGUUUGUGUUUUGACUUGAGUGAUUAGGAAUGUUAUUAUCGACUUUGUAUCCAUCUUACAUGUCGCACCUCGGGAGUUAUAAGGUCACAUCUCAAAAAAGUGAAAUUUUACAGGAGAGUGAUUUUCUUUUUUUUAAAAACUUGAUUCAUUAUUUUCAUCAACUUAUAAUCAAUUGUGAGGAAUGAAUAGCAUGUCAUUUUGAAGAUUGGGUAUCCUACCUUCAUUUAGCAUAAGAAUAUUUUGAAAAAUAAACUCUUAAAGAGGAAAUAUUUCAAUGUUUGGAAAACAUUUUGAGUUAUAACCUUUCAUAAAAAGUGAUCUGGAGGCGAAAAAAAGCGUCCAAAAAAAAUUUCGUGAUAACAAAAUUGUAGAGAAUUAAAUUUCCAAUCGACAUAAUGUCGUUAGUUUUUUUCUGGAGUGCUUAGUUUUUGAGUUUUUCUCAAAAAACUAAAAUUUCAAUAUAUAUGCAAAUUAAUUUUUCUGAAAAAUGUUCUAUUUUAAAAAAUUUUUGUUUUGGAACAAACCUACAAAAAAUACACUCCUUGUGAUUAUUUUACAUCUUAAAAACGUUCAAAACUAUCGAAACUGUUUUCUGACACUUUGUAUGUGCGAAUUUUACUCAAAGAAAGAGGAGUUUUUUGAGAUGUGACCUUAUAACUCCAAACAACUUGCAAUGUUGUAGAAAUUUUGAGUUAGGCCCUUUGCAUUUUUUACAUGAUCUAAGCAGCAUACCCGACUCAAAGUGUUUUUUUUGGUUGCUGGGGGUCAUGCAAACCCCAAAAAUGCAAAAACAUCAAAAUCGUUUUUUUUUGAGAUGUGACCUUAUAACUCCCGAGGUGCGAUGUUAUUGACAAUUCCAUUGUAUCUGCUACCAUUGCGCUGUUGGUGACAUUGAUGUGGUCUAUUUGAAAUUUUAUUGUUUUCACCAGGUAUAAGCACCCAAGAAUAAAUUUGCUUGCUUUUCUCCUCUUGAAAGUUGAUUAAGAGAUUCAUUUUGCCCUCAAAUUUUACAGCAUUUCGAAAUUGGUUGUAAUGGUAGAUGAAAUAUCUUAAGAGCUGUUUGUAGCCCUUCAUUAAUUCAUUACUCACUUUAACUUCUACAACUAAUUCAACAGGCAAGGUGGUUGUAGAAAGGUCUACAUCACUGUUGAUCUUACCAGUACCAUUGAGUUUAUUUCUACUUGUAGCCGGUUUCAUUCUCGGAUGUGUAGUUCUCAGAAUAUUUUUCCUGUGUACUAUCCCAAUUGACAAAAGAGCGCUAAAAAAGUUUGGCGAAAAGGAUGGCAACAUUUUGACACUGUUUUUGAGCACGUAUGAGGGCGCUCCAAUUUUACACCAAUGGAGCGCGCAUCAAAAUGUCGCCAUCGUUUUCGCCCUGUUGUUUUUGAAGGAGUUUGUCGCCUAUUUUUCUGUUACAGAUUCACUUUGAAUAUUUGCCUGGAUUUUGAUCGAUGUUUUGAGCAAUACAAACGAACUUUUAACAAUGUUACAUGUAAACCUGACUAGUUGAUCACACAAAUAGCACGCAAAAAUAAAAAAUUAAUACACACUUACAAUAAAUUAAUGACUUUUAAAACAAUUUCCAAUUUAUUUGUUCUUUUUUUUUUACUUUUGAAUUUUAAACUGAGAAACUACUGCACAUUAACUCUGCGAUCUCUCACACACUCAACACACUAAUCUCACUCGCAAUUUUCCCACCCAAACUAAAGAUUUUCAAAAUUCUAACCCCACCAGAGAACUAAAAAAAUAAAAACCAAUUUAAUAAAAUCUGGGAGAGUCUCACACAAGGAAGCAUCCACCAGCCCAGGGAGGAUGCCGGGGCCAAAACGUUUAUUUAAUUUUGGUUAAAAAUAUUCAUCUCUAGACAAAUCGAAAAACCACUUUAAACUGCACGUUUCACUGUUCCAUUCAAAAAAUCACAUAACACUGCACUUUAAACACUUUCAAACAAAAAAUUACGUUACACUGUACCUUUAAUAAAAAUCACUUCUAUACAAACGGAUUCAAAAACACACCAUUUACAUUUUCAAUAAUCAUUUUUACAUAGGUAAUAUAAGACGCAUUCAAACUGUUUGUAACGGACAACUGGAUGUUUCUCUCAGCCACUGAGUGUUUCUUAGGUAGUUAAUCAGUUGAAAAAUGCGAAGCGAUAGAGUUAUUAAUAGACUAUCAGCAAUUUACCAGACCAACCGGAUGUCAACGUCACAACUCGUUUCAAAUUAUUAGCGAAAAUUUUUAUCAUAGCGCCAAGUGUAGGGCGAUAUUUUCUUCAAGCGCCAUGAAGAGGGCGAACUAUCUCUACUUAUGUCUAUGUGUUGGGUGAAAUUUCAUUUGAGUGCCAAGUGUGGGGCAAAUUUUUGCCAUUCGCCCUCAUAUGUUAACUGAAAGUUUAUUUUAGCGCCGUCAUGAGGGCGAAUUUGUAAAAUUUUCAGGGCUUCAAACCCGAAUGUUUUCGGGUACGGGUAUCGGGUACGGGUACAGAAAAUUUUUCGGGUAUGGGUAUCGGGUACGGGUAUGGGAUUUUCUUCAAUUUUCGCCAUUUUUGAUACAAUUUUGAUGAAAUACCUGAAAAAAUACCCGUUCUAUCGGGUAUUCGGGUUCAAAAUAGUUUAAUCGGGUACUGGUUCGGGUACAGGUAGGUAUUCCUUGUUUUAUUUUUUUGGGUACGGGUACGGGUUCGGGUACAGAAAUUUAUGGAUUUUUGUUCGGGUAUUCGGGUACGGGUACGGGUACGGGUACGGGUUUGAAGCCCUGAAAAUUUUGCGCGGAUUUUCAUUAAAACGGACUUAGGAGAGCAACCAUUUUGUCAAUUGGGAUGUGUAGGUGUAGGGGUGGUAGCAACAGUGCUUUCUGUUGUCUUAGAUUUAGAAUCACACAAAUAAUUGAAGUAAUUAAUCUGGAGGAUUUAAACAAACGCAGGGGCGGAUUGAUUUAAUCAAUCAAACAGGUAUUUAUAUUUCAAUUAAUGUCACACUUCAGUAAUUAACAAAGGAGAACACACACAAUAUACAUUAUAAGCAUCAAAUAAAUAAGCAUCUGCAAAACGAAUGAUUAAAUUAUUAAUCUGUAAGAUUAAAGAUUAAACAAACAAAGCAAUAACAGAUUGAUUUAAUCAAUCAAACAGUUAUUUAUAUUUCAAUUAAUAUCACACUUCCGUAAUCAACAAAGAGAACACAUGCAUGAUGCAAUACACAUUAUAAUAUGCAUCAAACAAACAUGAGUCAGGUCAUGCUGGUGCGACAACCCCAAGGUACACUAGGAUCACGAAAAUGGAUCCACUCAUAAGGGUAAUGGUAUACCGUGAGUGGAUGAGUAGCUGUACACUAACACUCCCUCUCUAUGAGUUUACCAAUCGAGACAUGUCAAUUUUUCAAUGUACCUUCAGAGUUCAUUAAUACAAAUAAAUAUUUUAGAUAUUCACAAAAUUCAAGUACAAAACAAUAACGUUGAAUAACAAAACAUAUUUACAUAGGAACUUUAUCUUUGUUCAAUUCACAAUCCCAGUAUUGCAUUGCCACACUUGAUACCAGUUUUGUUGAAAAUCAUAAAAAUGCAUUAAGUAACGCCUUACUUGCAGGCUUUUUUGCAUGGUUAAAGUUGGGAAAACCCAGCUUAUUUAAAAUCUCGAUUGCCUUUUGAAUAUUUGGCGGGCCUUUAUGCAAACUUGUCCUUAUAACAGGGUGGACAGAAGUUAUGUGAACCCCAGAGAAAGAUUUUCAUUGAAAAUAAUGGUUGGCAACGUGAAAUAGAUGCAUAUGGUUGGUGGAAAGUCAUCAUCUUGGUCUAAUAACCAAUCAUAUGCUAUCAUUAUUAUCAUUCACUGUGACCAACCAAAAUAUUUAGCAAAAAACUUUUCUAGGGGUUCACAAUAUUUCUGUACACCCUGUAUGGUAUAAACAAUAUUAAACAUUGCCUAAUUUUAAAUCUAAUAAAUUAGAAUUCACCUUAAAAAGUAAGAAAAUCAUAGUUUGACUUUCAAAUCGUUGUGGGGUAAUUGAAGAUGUCACUUCAGAAAGGACAUCAGUGGGAAAGUUGUGUUUUGAGAAAGAGCGUUUUGAAAGUUUGAAUACUUGCCAAAUCAUACCUCAAAUUCUCAAUGAACAAUGAUGCCUUGAUUGCAUUGCAGUGCAAAUAUUUGGCUGCAAACAGAAACUUAUCUGUUCAGCUUGGUACCUUCUUUCACUGGACAGACUAUAGAGAAGAGAACAAAGAUACUCAGUAAUUAUAUUUGGUUACUUUGAAACAAACAUUACAUUUUUAAGUAAAAUAUCAAUAAAUAAGGUUAAAUUACUCGUAUUAUAAUACAGAAGUGAACAAAUUAUUCCCCCCUAGCCCGUGACUAAGUAUCAGGGGGACACAGUAACCCAAUCCUAAAUGACCACCAUAAAAAAUUGAAUGGGUCACCAGCAGUGGAAAUGGGGUUAGAUUAGAGGACCAUUUUUCACUGUAUACUGUACCUAAACAAUCAAUCAUUUUCUGCUUCUUAUAUCUUCCAAGUAACUUUCUUGUAUCUUUGGGAGAUGAUCCUUCAAUAGCUUCACAAACAUCUCCUUAUUAUUCACUCCAUGUUUCUUGAAACAUUUGCAUUGCACAUUUGCGAUCUGAGAACAAAAUUUGAAUUAAUUAUAAAAGAAAUUGAGAAAAACAAUUGAAAAAAAUUAUACUGCUUACCUACUCAUUAUAAUCAACCUGUACACACUGGCAUGCACAUUGCACAUAUGGGAUCACAAAUGCAACCAUUCUCCUAGAAGCUCCCUCCAGCUGGCGGAGUCUCCGGUGAAAGUGGCGGAGUAAACAUGCAUUGGUCAUAAGUAGGUGACAUGUACAUCUCCUCUGUCGACCCAUCAGCCGAUGACAUUGAGGACAUCGAUGAUACAGAGUCAGCAUUAUCCAUAGUUGGCACCUCGAUUGAAAAAAUCAUAUUCUUACUCAUUAUAGUUGCGCAAUGCGCAUUUGCAUGUUUCACUGUUCUCACACAGGCAUCCAUUGAAUGAGUGCACUUAUCUAAAUUUAAUUAUAGCCGUGCUUUUAUUGUUGGAUAGCUCAUGAACCCCUUUGAAUUCAAAUAUCUUGGACGUUCUGUCCAAUACAUACGAUGUAACACUCCAAAUUAUUUAAUAAUUGUUUUUCCAUACGCUCUGAAAAAACAUUAAAUUACCUACACAAGAAAAAUUGUAUUUUCUUUCAGUGUAUUUACAUAAAUACUGUGACAAUGUUAAACAGUUAUUAAAUCAUUUAUUCUUUUUCACAUCUUUGGUUGUAUCGAAACAGGACUGACUAAGUUGCUUGUACUUGCAGGCUUGUUUUGCACAUCCCAUUGUACAUCUCAUGUACUCGUAUGAUUUGUGAUUAGUUUUCUGUGUUGUCUUAUAAGUGUUGAAACUGACAAAACAUUGAAUAUAGAUUCAUUCUUACAUCUUGUAUCUUCUGUACAGGGGACAAGAAACAUAUAAAAUGGCAGGGCUGUAUACCGAUAUAUAUAGGGGAGAGACGCCAAAUAUGGAAGGCCAUCUUUAAAAUUGAGAUUGCUCAGCCCCAAAUCAACUUAAGGGCGAUCUCAAACAACCAAUGGGUAGCUGCAACCCUCUAGUUUCACCCCCUAAAAGCUCAGUUCUCAAAACCAAAAACUUUUCCCCCCACUUCCAAUUUUGUAGAAAGUGUCAUUUUCAGACUUUGAAAAAAUGGUCUCCAAAUAUGGAAUGGUUUUUUUUUUCAAAAAAUAUUGGUAAAAAUGAUGUGGUUAACCAAAUGUAUUCGAUUUGAAAUGCAAUAAUAAAGUAAAGCUAUGUUCACUGUUGAUAAAACUAACAUUUUAAUCGAUUUAAAACGUAAAAUUAUCUGACUUAGAAAGGAAAAUUUUUUUUCAAAAAUUAAUGGAUAAAAUUACGUAUUUAAUCGAAUUUAUUCGACUUGAGACCUAAAAUACGUGUAAGAUGCAUAAUUACUAACGUUUUGAACAUGUGUGAUCGGAAGAAUACUUAAAAAAUAAGAAACACAACAUAUUCCAUAAUAGGCUACCCAAAGAAUCUGAAUAAAAAACGAUCAUAACUUCAUUAUUUGCAGCUUUCGAGAAAAACUGAUAAAAUAUUCUGAAAGUACCCACUUUUCACUUCUAGAAGCUAUCUUCAUACAAAUGUUUUCGCACAAUUUUUUGCUAAAAUUUUUGAAUUCAAAAUUUUUCAUGGAAAUUUUUUUUUUUUAUCAAAUCACAUUUUUGUCAAUUAAACACAGAUAACUUUACGGACCACCACCAAAAUUUGUAUAGCCUGGUUAUUUCACUAGCUUAAUCGAUUCUGACCAUCGCCAGUAGAUUUCGAUGGUAAACAUUCGAGAUAUUGUCGCAUUCCAUAUUAGGCAACAUUCCAUAUUUGGCGUCUCUCCCCUACCAAAAAACCAGUAAAUUGAAGCACUCACACAUGAUUGCUCUAUAAAAUAACAUCCAAUUAAUCAAUUAUGAAAAAAAAGAAACAACAUUUUAAAAAAUCAUAUAUUCAUAUUCUUACUCAUUGUAGUUGCGCAAUGCGCAUUUGCAUGUUUCACAGUUCUCAUACAGGCAUCCAUUAAAUGAUUGAACAUAUCGAAAUUUAAUUAUAGUCAUGCUUUUAUUGUUGGAUAGCUCACAAACCCCUUUGAAUUCAAAUAUCUUCGGCAUUCUGACGAAUACGAUGUGACACUCCAAAUUAUUAAAUAAUUGUUCUUCCAUACACUCUGAAAAAACAUUAAAUUACUUACACAAAAAAAAUUGUAUUUUCUUUCAGUGUACCUAGAUAAAUACUGUGACAAUGUUAUACAAUUGAAUCAUUUCUGCUUUGUAUUUGCACAUCCUGUUGGGCUUCUAGCAUCUUUUUACGAUUUUUCUUACGUCUUGUAUUUCCUGUACAGGGGACAAAAAACAUAUAUAAUGGCGAGCCUGUAUACCGCUAGAUAUAUAAAAUAAUUAAUCUUGUGAGGGACACUUGCAGAAUUCCAAAGAAGUCUGCAGUGCCCAAACUCACGCUCAUAUAAGAAUUUUCAUUAUUGGCUGCCAGAAGAUGAAGUUUUCAGGUGAGAGUAAAACUAAACAGCAUUAUAAAAAAUUUUAUUUGUGAAUGUCAACAAUCAAUAACCACACACAAUAAAAAAAAUCAUAAAAUGUAUUAGGUAAACUAGGUACUUCAUUGAUCAUUUACCAACACAGGAAUCAAAAUCUAUUAUACCUAUAUAUAAACAUUACAAUAUAAUUUUAAAUAUACCUAAUAAAUUAAAAUUCACCACUAUAAAAAAUUGACUUUCCAAAUUAUUGUGGGGUAAUUAUAGAUACCUAAGUUAGAACACUACAUAUAGGUAUACUAAUGCAAUUAAGAAGUAUUAUAUGUAAGUGUGUUUAGGUAUGGCAAAUAUGGUGUAAUUUUCAAUUCUGCUGGGAUGUCAUUUUUAUAGCUACCUGUGUAUUAUUCACUUGUUAAUUUCAUGUUUUUUUUAUAUGUACAUACAUACAAAUACAUAAUUAUUCUUCUCUGAAA